ACGAACGCUGGCGGCACGCUUAACACAUGCAAGUCGAACGAGAGAAGAGAAGCUUGCUUUUCUGAUCUAGUGGCGGACGGGUGAGUAACACGUGAGCAAUCUGCCUUUCAGAGGGGGAUACCGAUUGGAAACGAUCGUUAAUACCGCAUAACAUAAUUGAACCGCAUGAUUUGAUUAUCAAAGAUUUAUCGCUGAAAGAUGAGCUCGCGUCUGAUUAGCUAGUUGGUAAGGUAACGGCUUACCAAGGCGACGAUCAGUAGCCGGACUGAGAGGUUGAUCGGCCACAUUGGGACUGAGACACGGCCCAGACUCCUACGGGAGGCAGCAGUGGGGAAUAUUGCACAAUGGAGGAAACUCUGAUGCAGCGAUGCCGCGUGAGGGAAGAAGGUUUUAGGAUUGUAAACCUCUGUCUUCAGGGACGAAAAAAGACGGUACCUGAGGAGGAAGCUCCGGCUAACUACGUGCCAGCAGCCGCGGUAAUACGUAGGGAGCGAGCGUUGUCCGGAAUUACUGGGUGUAAAGGGAGCGUAGGCGGGAUCGCAAGUCAGAUGUGAAAACUAUGGGCUUAACCCAUAAACUGCAUUUGAAACUGUGGUUCUUGAGUGAAGUAGAGGUAAGCGGAAUUCCUAGUGUAGCGGUGAAAUGCGUAGAUAUUAGGAGGAACAUCAGUGGCGAAGGCGGCUUACUGGGCUUUAACUGACGCUGAGGCUCGAAAGCGUGGGGAGCAAACAGGAUUAGAUACCCUGGUAGUCCACGCCGUAAACGAUGAUUACUAGGUGUGGGGGGACUGACCCCUUCCGUGCCGCAGCAAACGCAAUAAGUAAUCCACCUGGGGAGUACGACCGCAAGGUUGAAACUCAAAGGAAUUGACGGGGGCCCGCACAAGCAGUGGAGUAUGUGGAUUAAUUCGAAGCAACGCGAAGAACCUUACCAGGUCUUGACAUCGUAUGCAUAGCUCAGAGAUGAGUGAAAUCUCUUCGGAGACAUAUAGACAGGUGGUGCAUGGUUGUCGUCAGCUCGUGUCGUGAGAUGUUGGGUUAAGUCCCGCAACGAGCGCAACCCUUACUGUUAGUUGCUACGCAAGAGCACUCUAGCAGGACUGCCGUUGACAAAACGGAGGAAGGUGGGGAUGACGUCAAAUCAUCAUGCCCCUUAUGACCUGGGCCUCACACGUACUACAAUGGCUGUUAACAGAGGGAUGCAAAGCCGCGAGGUGGAGCGAACCCCUAAAAGCAGUCUUAGUUCGGAUUGUAGGCUGCAACCCGCCUACAUGAAGUCGGAAUUGCUAGUAAUCGCAGAUCAGCAUGCUGCGGUGAAUACGUUCCCGGGCCUUGUACACACCGCCCGUCACGCCAUGGGAGUCGGUAACACCCGAAGCCUGUAGUCUAACCGCAAGGAGGACGCAGUCGAAGGUGGGAUUGAUGACUGGGGUG
rnacentral:rRNA from 1 species